rnacentral:rRNA from 1 species
GAUGAACGCUGGCGGCGUGCUUAAUACAUGCAAGUCGAGCGAGGACCACUUGGUGGCAACACCGGGUGGCUCCUAGCGGCGAACGGGUGAGUAACACGUGGGCAACCUGCCCCCGACUCUGGGAUAAGCCCGGGAAACUGGGUCUAAUACCGGAUACGAACCUCCUCCGCAUGGUGGAGGUUGGAAAGGGUCUCCGGUCGGGGAUGGGCCCGCGGCCUAUCAGCUUGUUGGUGGGGUAACGGCCCACCAAGGCGACGACGGGUAGCCGGCCUGAGAGGGUGAACGGCCACACUGGGACUGAGACACGGCCCAGACUCCUACGGGAGGCAGCAGUAGGGAAUCUUGCGCAAUGGGCGAAAGCCUGACGCAGCGACGCCGCGUGCGGGACGAAGGCCCUCGGGUUGUAAACCUCUUUCAGUAGGGAAGAAGCGAAAGUGACGGUACCUGCAGAAAAAGCACCGGCUAACUACGUGCCAGCAGCCGCGGUAAUAC